CUUCAUUAAUGCUUCUUGGAAACUGCCUAUUAUACAUAAGGACCAAGAUAAAAUGCUCAGUAACAUCUUGAGCAAUGUGCUGAUAAUGAGGUCUGAAUUUAAUAGACUACGCAGUCUAGCUUAUUCAUCCAUUCAGUACUUCCUGUGUCAACUGUUAGGUGGAUCUAUUUGUCAUGAACUGACCUUCACACAAGAGAACCUGAAGUCCCUCACUAUUUGUAAGAGUCCUCCACCCUUGAAGUCUUGGAUUUCAUUAUGUGAAUAUAUUUAAUAUACAAUGAAUAUACAACAAAUAUACAACAUACUAUUCUGGCCCCUUAAUCUAUUCUUUAUUUUUUUUCUUUUGAAAGAAAUAUACUUUUCAUAGUCAUAUUCUAACAAUGAAACUCAGCCUACCAUGCCUCAGAGAUACCUACUAGGAUGAAUUUAUGUCCUUGCAUUAAGAUUUCUAGUUCACUUGGUUUUAUUACCUGUACUUUGUGCAUUUGGGUAUAGACAUCUGAGCUCUUUGGUUUUAUUAUUGAUUCCAUUCUGUGAAUUACUGGGCCUCCCUAAUGUUAUUCUUAUUCGUGUAUUGUAGCUGCUUCUCUCUAUGGUAGCUGGAUUGGCAGAUAUAUGUAAGCAGUCUUGCCCUUUUCCUUCCCCUCUGGUUUCUGUCUAGAACCCUCUUAAUGAGAUUUGCAUGCAGCCAAUUCUGUUCUUACCAGUCCUCAUUAGGCACACUCCAUUCCUGGUCAAAAGCCCAUACUCCCUUCGUUUUAAGCCAUCAUUCAGGUUCUUUUCCCAGAUUUCUUCUUAACAAGCUGCUCAUUUUCCCAAUCCACCUUUCUCUUCCAAAGCCCCUGCCUCCAGUGGGCAGCAGUGAUUAAGAACCUGUGCCCCUCCAAGAUCUUCAGUUUCUCACCCAGAACUUCAGAAUUUUGAGCAACUGUUCCUAUGAUCUUCCUGGAGCUCUUCUUUGCUCCCAUCUGAAUGAUAAGAACUGGAUGGCCAUCCACAAGUUUAACAAGUCUCAAGAGUCCCAGUUACAUGUCCUGGAAAAACAACAAAUUUUUUUUUAUUAUUUAUGUCAUACUGACAAAUAACUGCCUCAGAGCCCCCCAACAGGGAGUCAUCUACCCCUUUAAUCUAGGUUCUAAAUUUCUUUCACUAUAUAUUAAUAUUACAUUUUCUGGGAUUUGGGGAGGGCCUCAGAUCAUGAGGCUGGCUUAUCCUAAAUUGGUAAUAAAAAGUGUAAGUCUUUUUUUCCAAUGAAAUACUGCUAAAAACUGCUUUUGCCCUUUCUAUUCAUGUGCAGCUAAUUGUUUUUUUAACCUAAAAUACAAAACUUUAUAUCUACCUCUAUUAAAUUUCAACUUAUUGUUUAUACCCAUUUUUCCAGCCUGAUAAUGUUUUUUUCUUUACCCUGUCAUCCAGAAUAAUUGGAAAUGAUAUACAUACAUCAUAUAUUUUCACCUAAUUUCUGUGUUCUUCAACAUUGAUCUCUAGAAUUCUUUUCAAUUCUGAAUCUAUGAUUCUAUGAACCCAUAUAUACUUGAAUUUUUUCUCUACAUUAACUACAUUAACAUUAGACCUGAGACCUAAAAUAUUCAUGUAUGUACUGGUCCUUUAGAGAAUUAUUAUGUAAGUAGGAAAACAAGACCAACAAAGUGCUAAAUUUGGAGCCCUAGGAAAAAAGAACACUAGAGUAAGAAAUGAGAAAUCAGAGAAAUAUCUGUGUUUGUGUCUGUGCAUAUGAUGACUAAGGUAAAGAUUGAAUAUAAAUGAGAAUUAAGUCCAGGUCAAAGCAUCUAGGGAAUCCAAGUCAGAGACAGAGCAGAUAAAUAAUUGCAGUAACACUGUCUAAGAUGAAUUGUCCACCAAUGGUUUUUUGGUGGGUGCAGGAUACUUUCAACCAUGAUCACUUGUCUUGAAAGAACUGACAUCCCAACUGAUUUGAGAUAGGAUGCCAUCCUCAUCCCACCUACCCUUAUUCAUCAUCAAGUCUGUCUAAUUCAUCAUCAAGUCCUAUUCAAUUUUUUUAUAGUAUUGUUCAUCCUUCAUUUUUCAAAGAGGUCCAAUGACAGAAUGAGAUGAUGUCUUGACUUAUGCAUACAUUGGAUUUAACUGAAGCAGAGUUGCACAAAGUCAUCAUAAUUGUACAUAUAUACCUAUUUAAAUGGUGUUUAAUGAUAACCUCUCUAGGAUGGGAUAGGGGAGCUGAGGGAAGAAAAAAAAAGUACAAAAUAAUUAUUAUAUUUGAAAUUUUAUAUUAUAUUUGAAAGGAAUAGCAGCAAAUUGUGUAUGGUAGACUUGCAGUUUUGUGUAAUCUCUUUAUUGUACUGUUAUCUUUUUAUUGUACUAUUAU